rnacentral:rRNA from 1 species
UACGAAGGGGGCUAGCGUUGCUCGGAAUCACUGGGCGUAAAGCGCACGUAGGCGGAUUGCUAAGUCAGGGGUGAAAUCCUGGAGCUCAACUCCAGAACUGCCCUUGAUACUGGCGGUCUCGAGUCCGGGAGAGGUGAGUGGAACUGCGAGUGUAGAGGUGAAAUUCGUAGAUAUUCGCAAGAACACCAGUGACGAAGGCGGCUCACUGGCCCGGUACUGACGCUGAGGUGCGAAAGCGUGGGAGCAACAGGG